AUUGAACGCUGGCGGCAGGCUUAACACAUGCAAGUCGAGCGGAGCGAGGGUGCUUGCACCUUAGCUUAGCGGCGGACGGGUGAGUAAUGCUUGGGAAUCUGCCUAUUAGUGGGGGACAACAUUCCGAAAGGAAUGCUAAUACCGCAUACGCCCUGCGGGGGAAAGCAGGGGAUCUUCGGACCUUGCGCUAAUAGAUGAGCCUAAGUGGGAUUAGCUAGGUGGUGGGGUAAAGGCCUACCAAGGCGACGCUCUGUAGCGGGUCUGCGAGGAGGAUCGGCCACACUGGGACUGAGACACGGCCCAGACUCCGACGGGAGGCGGCAGUGGGGAAUAUUGGACAAUGGGCGGAAGCCUGAUCCAGCCAUGCGGCGUGUGUGAAGAAGGCCUUUUGGUUGUAAAGCACUUUAAGCGAGGAGGAGGCUCUUAAGGUUAAUACCCUUGAUGAGUGGACGUUACUCGCAGAAUAAGCACCGGCUAACUCUGUGCCAGCAGCCGCCGUAAUAC
rnacentral:rRNA from 1 species